GAGGGGAGAAGAGAUCAAGUAGUGUACAAUAAUUUGUUUGUGAAAAAAGUUGCAGUAGUUGCAAGGUAAAAACAUAUACAAUAAAUGCUCCAACCAUCUUUUUUCUAUUACAUCCUGGAAUAACCUUUGUGGUCUUCAUAUUUCUCCAUGAAUUCAUCAUUGAACUUUUUGAAACUUUCCAUUAUUGCUGGCAUGUCUUCUUCAGCUGGCAAGAUGGUUGUCCUUAGAUGGAACACCCCUUCCUUUUGACCGAAACCUGAACCAGGGACGGUGGAGAUGCCAGUUGCUUCCAACAGCCUCAGACAAUAGAGAACAUCAGGAGCUUUCCCAAGCUUAUUUGCAGUCUCUAUUGCUUUAGGAGGCAAUCGUAUUUGCGGGAAGGAAUACAUUGCACCUUCUGUGAAAUUACAAACAACAUUUCUGCAGCUGUUGAAACCAUCAGUCAUCAUGUGUGCCCUCUUCCUUAAUGACUCGAGGAUACCCUUACUCUCUCUGACAUAUUGGUCAUAUGAGAUAUCUCCAGGUUUAGGGGGGUUCACCAUGAGCCCCAUAAAUAUCUGUCCAGGUACAUUUGGACUGAGUGAAAUUGAAGCAACCUUGUAUAUUUCUUCAACAGCCUUGGGAGGAAUGUUGGUCAUCUCAAA
rnacentral:misc_RNA from 1 species